CCUACGGGUGGCAGCAGUGGGGAAUAUUGGUCAAUGGACGAAACUCUGACCCAGCAACGCCGCGUGAAUGAUGAAGGUCUUAGGAUUGUAAAGUUUUUUUCUAAGGGAAGAAGAAAGUGACGGUACCUUAUGAAUAAGCCUCGGCUAACUACGUGCCAGCAGCCGCUGUAAUACGGAGGGGGCGAGCGUUAUCCGGAACGACUGGGGGUAAAGGGUGCGUAGGUGGUUUGGCAAGUUAGUAGCGUAACUCCAAGGCUCAACCUUGGAACUACUACUAAAACUGGUGGACUUGAGUGCAGGAGGGGCAACCGGAAUUCGUAGUGUAGCGGUGGAAUGCGUAGAUAUUAGGAGGAACACCAGUGGCGAAGGCGGGUUGCUAGACUGUAACUGACACUGAGGCACGAAAGCGUGGGGAGCAAACAGGAUUAGAUACCCCGGUAGUC
rnacentral:rRNA from 1 species